AUCACCUAGAGAUCUUAUUAAAAUGCAGAUUCUGACUCAGUAGGUCUGAACUGAGGCCUGAGGGCCUGAGAGUCUGCAUUUCUAAUAAGUUCCCAACUGAUGUCAG
rnacentral:pre_miRNA from 1 species